CUCUGCCCUUUGCAUUAGUGCUGGAUGAGGGCCCUUGCAGCGCUGUGACGGAGAGCAGAGCAAGGAUCCAGAACCAGGACCUGACCCAGCUCCCUCCGCAGGUCAGCACAGAACACCAGCUGGUCAGCGCAAGCUCUCCCAGCCCGCUGCUGCAGAGCCUCAGUCAGACAGCAUCCAAAGCUCGCAGCUGCUGUACAGACAAAUACCAUCUACACCCUGAUGCACUCGCAAGCUCAGAGCAUGCCAAGGACUCCAGGAUAGAUCCUGCACAGAACCUUCUACCCGCUUGGUGCUCAGACCCGAGCACCGCUCCAGGAGACCUGCCAGCUGGACAAGCACAGAGUACAAACCCACUCUGCUCCCAGGCACAGCACAUACAUGGGACCUGCAGACGGAGGGCUCCGCCAGUGCCACUAGGGGAAAUCUGCUCCAUCGCCCAGAUCCUGUUAGCGGACAUGAGCUGCAAUUUCUGAACAUCUGGGUGUUGGCUCCCUGCAAUGCAAGCCACAGCCAGCGGGC